GGAGCCGUAGCGAAAGCGAGUUUUAACUGAGCGUUCAGUUACUUGACGUAGACCCGAAACCGGGCGACCUACCCAUGAGCAGGAUGAAGCGAAAGUAAAAUUUCGUGGAGGUCCGAACCCACGAGCGUUGAAAAGCUCGGGGAUGACUUGUGGGUAGCGGUGAAAUUCCAAUCGAGCCCGGAGAUAGCUGGUUCUCCCCGAAAUAGCUUUAGGGCUAGCCUCAAGGUGAGAGAUACGGAGGUAGAGCACUGAAUGUCCUAGGGGGUAUUGCACCUACCGAAGACUAUCAAACUCCGAAUGCCGUCAUCUUAUACUUGGGAGUCAGACUGUGGGUGAUAAGAUUCAUAGUCGAAAGGGCAACAGCCCAGAUCGUCAGCUAAGGUCCCUAAAUGUAAGUUAAGUGGUAAAGGAUGUGGGAUUGCACAGACAACCAGGAUGUUGGCUUAGAAGCAGCCACUCAUUCAAAGAGUGCGUAAUAGCUCACUGGUCGAGUGAUCCUGCGCCGAAGAUUUCCGGGGCUAAAACUUACUACCGAAGCUACGGCAUCAGUAAUGAUGGGUAGGGGAGCUUCCCAUACGGGUUGAAGCAUGACCGUAAGGACAUGUGGACAGUAUGGGAGUGAGAAUGUUGGCAUGAGUAGCGAGAUGUGGGUGAGAAUCCCACAGGCCGUAAACCCAAGGUUUCCAGGGGAAGGUUCGUCCGCCCUGGGUUAGUCGGGACCUAAGCUGAGGCCGAAAGGCGUAGGUGAUGGACAACAGGUUGAUAUUCCUGUACUACCGAUAACCGUUUGAGAGAAGGGAUGACACAGUAGGAUAAGCUAAGCACACUGUUGGUUAUGUGUGCCCAAGCAUUGAGGCAGUCAAAGUAGGCAAAUCCGCUUUGAUAAUGCUGGGAUGUGAUGGGGAGCGAAAUUUAGUAGCGAAGUAGCUGAUUUCACACUGUCAAGAAAAGUCUCUAUCGAGGUUAAAGGUACCCGUACCGCAAACCGACACAGGUGGGUGAGGAGAGUAUCCUAAGGCCAGCGAGAGAACUGUUGUUAAGGAACUCGGCAAAAUGACCCCGUAACUUAGGGAUAAGGGGUGCCACCAUC
rnacentral:rRNA from 1 species